rnacentral:lncRNA from 1 species
AUGUUCCCGUUCCUUAAGGAAUCAUUAAACCCUUCCCAGCGCUCCAUCCCGCUGGAUGCAGCGGGGAGGCUCCGUGGACACUGCCAGCCGGCGCUCCAGUGGUCAAAAUCCGAAAAAAAAGCUGGAAUUUCACUGAAUAAACCAAGUUUCAGUGCCGCACACGCCUUGUCCCCCAGCUCCUGCGAACGAGCACCUGCGAAUGAGGGAGGUUCCCGGGAUUCCGCUGGGGAUGCAUCCCGGGGAAUGCGGGAUCCGCAGCGGGAUGCAUCCAUCCCGAAGGGAAUGGCUGGGCCGGGGCCUCCGGGGCGCGGGCCGCGGGGCUGGAUUGAGCAUCUUGUAGAUUUUUUUGUUGUUGUUGGUUUUGUUUUGUUUUAUUUAAAGAAUUUGGAGCCAAAAUCGGCGCGCGGGAUGAGGCCGGGCUGCGCUUCCACCGGCGGCCACGAGGGGGCGGCAGCGGCGCGGGCACGGCAGCGCCGGGAGCGCCCCGCGGUGGGACCGGGACGGACAGAGGGACAGGGACGGACAGGGGGACAGAGAGGGAGACAGAGGGACAGAGAGGGACAGGGACGGACAGGGAUGGACAGGGACGGACAGAGGGACAGGGAGACAGGGGGACAGGGACGGACAGGGAUGGACAGGGACGGACAGAGAGGGAGACAGAGGGACAGGGACGGACAGAGGGACAGGGAUGGACAGGGGAACAGGGACGGACAGGGAUGGACAGGGACGGACAAAGGGACAGGGACGGACAGGGGGACAGGGACGGACAGAGGGACAGGGAGACAGGGGGACAGGGACGGACAGGGAUGGACAGGGGGACAGGGACGGACAGGGAUGGACAGGGACGGACAGAGAGGGAGACAGAGGGACAGGGACGGACAGAGAGGGAGACAGAGGGACAGGGAUGGACAGGGACGGACAGAGGGACAGGGAUGGACAGAGGGACAGGGGGACAGAGGGACAGGGAUGGACAGGGGGACAGGGACUGACAGAGGGACCGGGGGACAGAGAGGGGAUAGAGAGGGACAGAGGGACAGAGAGGGAUAG